rnacentral:rRNA from 1 species
AACUCUGAGCAGUGGAUCACUUGGCUCACGGGUUGAUGAAGAACGCAGCCAGCUAUGAGACUUGGUGUGAGUUGCAGGACACAUUGAGCACUGAUUUUUCGAAUGCGCAUUGAGGUCUCGGGUGGCACCCGGGACCUCGCCUGUCUGGCGGUCG